GUUGUUGGCGAACUAACGGAGGCUCGGGUUGUGCAUUUAUUUAGUCCAACUUGACACUUUACUGUCUGGGGGUAUGAUUUGCAUAGCAACAAAUCGGAUGUUGUCCGACACUAAUACAAAUUCACCAGUUUUAAUUCAGUUCCUCCUGAAGGGUUAAUAGCAACACUUAACACUGGACUGUUAUCAGGAAUACUGGGUCUGCUUCCAGUCAUAAAGCAUUACGCAGCAUUUUGGCUUACACACGCAGCUCCUCAAAUACCAGAGUGCUAGUCAUUCACGAUCAAGAGAAGGAGCUAGAUGGCGUGAGAAAGGAGAAGUGAGCAGGAGAGAGAAAAUAUCAGGCAGUGUACAGUUAGCUCUUUCAGUUUCUCUGGUUUUUGCUGGAUUUUAAAGGCUCUUGGGCUUUUCACAUUCUCUGGAUGUAAUUUAAAGACGCAGGAAGACCUGGCACUAGCCAUGGGUUCAAGUUCAACACUGGCAAGCCUUGUGUUUUUCCUUGGUUUGUGUGGGAUCUGUAGCGGAUUUGAACAGGAGAACUGUACUGACUACAAACUCCAGUUUGAGAGGGUUUUGUCUGUUCCUGGAGAUGUGGCUAUGCUGAGAAGCACACUGGUCUCCUCAGACGUCUUUGAUUUCAAAACUGUCCCGUACAACAUCACGUGGUACAACUCGGUGUCAGGCCAAGAAAUCAGCAGUCAGACUGGUCACAUCCUGGUGCACGAGGAGACUCUGUGGAUUCUCAAAGUAACCAUGAAUGACAGUGGGGAUUAUGUGACCAUACUGAGGUACGAAGCACAAGUAGAAAUAUUAGAAAUGAAUAGAACACAGUAUUAAUUUACACCUUACACAACUCA